AGGAGGGCGUGGGGUUGGGGUUGGGGGAACACUAAAAGAAGGCCAUACUUGCAGGGAUGGGUUGGAACAUCCGCCUUGGAAGUUUAAGGGAAAAAAUUGAAGUACAUCAACUCUUGCUAAUCUGUGUCACAUGACCAUCUGGAUCCCAGGAAUCCUUACCUUGAACAACAAUCGGGAGCUAAGGAAGGAGAGGUUAAACACCGUGAGACCAGACAUUGAAGUGCACGGCUGUAAUCCCAGCACCUGGGAGGUUGAAGCAGGAUGAUCCUAGUUGGAAAGCAACCUGGUCUACAGGGCAAGAGCCUGUCUCAAAAACAAACCAACAAAGGUUGGAGAGAUUUUUCUUCUUUUUUAAGGUGAGUCAGUGAGGAUGAAUGAGUAGGCAGUUAGUGUAUUAACUAAGGCUAAGGCUGUAGCUGGAAGAACAGAAGAAAAGAACAUAAAAAGAGAGAUGGAGCUGCCGGAUACCCACAAAUCCUUCCCAGGGGUUUAUGCCCAGAUGUCCUCAGCUCCUCCUCCCAACUGAAGUAGAUGAGGGAUUAAGGUUCCUUCUACCCUCGUCUUUGAUUUGCAUCCUAUCCACUUGUAAACAACAUCACCUAUACUCUUUCAAAUUACUGUAAUAGUCCUUUAUUUGAGAUUCCCUGACAGCUGAAUCUGACGGGUAGCCAUACAAAGUGCUACAAGAAGGCAGAAGAUACAACUCAGGAAGUUGUACACCUGGCCUGAGGCUGGUUAGUCACUUCUGCUCAGGACCAUUCUGGAGAGAAGGCAGUCUAGUUGCUGUCCAACUUCCUGGAGGAAGACACAAGUGAAAAGCAGUCAGCUACACACACACACACACACACAUUUAUACACUUACACUUAUACACAUUUGCACACUUACACACACACACACCCUGGUGCUUCAGUGGACUCUGACCUGAUGUGGUAAGCCCUGUGAGAUGGAGAACUUUGAAAAGUACCAAUUUAGGUCGAAUGACAGAGCCAUAUUUGGUGAUUCCUUUGCCUCUAAGAAGCGGAGACAGACGCUUUACUUCUAAGUCCACCUGACCUCUCCUGACCCAUACAUCACUUGUUCACUUUAUUUAUGAUGUGUGUGUGUACGUGUGCGGUAUGUAUGCAGUGAGUAUAUGUGUGAGCACAUGCAGAGACACAGGUUAAUAUUGGGUGUUUCUCUUAUUUUUUUUUCUUAUUUUAUGAAAUAGGGUCAUUCACUAAACCUGGAACUUCCUGUUUUACCGAGGCUGACUGGCUAGCAGGACCCCCUCCAGGACUCACUCCCAGUGCUGGGGUUACAGAUGUACAUCACCAUGCCUGGCUUUUACAGGAUGUUGGGGAUCUGAACGCAGGUCCUCAUGCUUGCACAGCAAACACUGUACCCACCAACCCAUUCCCCCAGCCCUCAAUUUUAUUUACUUUUAAAUUUUAACUUAUUGUGAUUUAGGGGGUAGGGAAAAGUUGGCUUUUUGUUCAUUUGUUUGUUGUUUGUUUUGAAGGAUUUAACUCAUGGCUUAAGAAGGGAUAUGUCCACCAUGGUGGUGAAGCCAUGACAGCCAGAAUAUGAGGUGUUUGAUUACUGCAUAGUCAGGAGUCAGAGAAAUGUAUCUGGUCCUUGGCUAGGGUAAUGGCUGCUCUUGGUUGUCAACUUGACUGCAUCAAGUGGCUAGAUACACUUGUGAGGGAUUUUUCUUAAUUAAAUUAUUUGAAGUGGGAAGUCCCACCUUUAAUCUAGAUCUUUUGAGAUGGGAAAAUCCAUCUUUAAUCUAGGCCACGCUUUCCAGGGGCAGCCUGUAUAAAUGAUAAGGAAGAAGGAACCCCUUUGUUCUUCGCUUGCUUGCCCUUGCCUUGCUGGCAAGUUCAUCCCUUUACUGGCAUUAUAGCCAACUGCUUUGGGAUUCCGGCAUACACUGAAGACCAGCUGAGACAUCUUGAACUUUCUGUUGGUAGACAGCCAGUGUGUGUGUGUGUGUGUGUGUGUGUGUGUGUGUGUGUGUGUCUUAGUUCUGGCUUUAUUGCUUUGAAGAGACAUUAUGACCAUAGCAACUCUUAUAAAGGACAACAUUUAACUGGGGCUGGCUUACAGUUUCAGAGGUUCAGUCCAUCAUCAUCAUGGUGGCAAGCAUGGCAGCAUCCAGGCAGACAUGGUGCUGGAGAAGGAGCUAAGAGUUCUACAUCUUGGGGUUAGGGAUUUAGCUCAGUGGUAGAGCGCUUGCCUAGCAAGCCCAAGGCCCUGGGUUCAGUCCCCAGCUCCGGAAAAAAAAAAAAGAAGAGUUCUACAUCUUGAUCUUCAGGCAGCAGAAGGAGACUGGAACCUUAAAGCAGGCCCUCACAGAGACACACCUACUUCAACAAGCCACACCUACUGCAACAAGCCACACCUACUGCAACAAGCCACACCUACUGCAACAAGCCACACCUCCUAAUAGUGCCACUCCCUAUGUCCAGGCAUUCAAACACAUGAGUCUAUGGGGGCCGUGCUGACUAGAACUUCUAGAGAUUUGUGACUAAUAUAUCUGGCUUCUUCCUUUUCCUGUUUUUAUUCAGUCUAGGACCCCAGCCCAGCCCAUGGGAUGAUGCUACACAGGUUCAAGGUGAAGCUUCCCUAUUCAGUUGAGUGUCUCUAGAAACACCCUCAUCCACAUCUUUGCAGGAUGUACCAAUCCCAGCAUCUCCAACAUCCCGGGGUCUCCACUGCAACUUCGGCUUCAUCUUCACAGCCUCAUAUGAUGGUCUCUUUUGGUCUUCUUGUAGGGACUCUGACCCCACCAUUCACUGCCUGAUCUUAGCAGCUCUCUGGAACCUUGGCAGAAGCCUCCGUGGCCCUACAACCCUCACAUGUUGCACAUCUGCUAAUCCAGGACGUUGAGGGUGACAGGUUCUGCCCACAGCUCAAGAUGUGCUCUGUCCGUUCUACCACAGCUUCCGUGCACUUUAGAGGCUCAGCCUAGGAGAAUGUCUUCUAAGCGGUAUUUUCAAUGUUCACUCUGACAAUUUCAUGCAUAUAUGUAAUCACAUUAUCACUCCAUUAAUAAUAAUUAAUAAUAAUCAGCUCACAUUAAUCACUCCACCCCCUCACAUGGGCCUCCUACCCCACCUCCCCCAGUUUCCCCCACCUCCUGCCUCCAAGUCCUCUUCCCUUGUUUGUGUCUUUGUGGUUUGUUCCUAUUUUUAAAGCAGUUGUUUUAAAAGCAGAGAAUCCCUUCCUCUGCGUUUUCAAUCUGGCCUCCAAAAUCUUCCGCCUUACUCCGGAGGGCUAAAAGCCACGUGGUCAGAUUUACCACAGAAGCGACCGAACUUCUCCAGACCAACUUUCUGUGUUAGUUUCUUUCUCCAUUGUUUCUGACAAUAUGCUUGUCAGAAGCCACUCCAGGUGAACAAAGAUUUAGCUCAUGGCAAGCAGUGGAGUGCCAAGUGUGGUAAGACUGCACCAAGAGGCAGGGAGCAGAGUGAGGGAUCUGGUGUUUGUUUGCCUGGGCUUUCUGUUUAGAACUGUUUGUUUUCACACUGAGUUUCACUGUGUAGACCAGGUUGGCUCCAACGUCCUGAUUUACCUGACCCGGCCUCCCCGGAAGAACAUGCAUAGCCUGGAACAACUUUGAUUGCGUUUCAAAUUUUUUUUCUCUUUUGUUGGUUCUAAAAUAAACUUUUUAAAAAAGAUUUAUUUAUUUCAGGCAUGUGAGUACACUGUCACUCCCUUCAGACACACAUCAGAAGAGGGCAUCGGAUCCCAUUACAGAUGGCUGUGAGCCACCAUGUGGUUGCUGGGUAUUGAACUCAGGACCUCUGGAAGAGCAGUCAGUGCUCUUAACCGCUGAGCCAUCUUUCCAGCCUCAGUUCUGAAAUUUUUGACUAUGCUGUGACUUGACAUAGUGUAUCAUCUUCUUCAUGCAUCUUGGUUUCUAUUAAUCUUUCUCCUGUGGAUUUAUGGAUUUAUUGUAUUUAUCCAUUUGAGUCACUGGGUUUUGCCUUUUCUUUUUCUCUCUGUUCCCUUUUUCCUUCAGACAGGGUGUUUCUCUAUAGCUCUGGCUAGCCUAGAGCCUGGCACAUAGAUGAGGCUAGCCUUCAACUCAUGGGGAUCUGCCUGUCUCUGCCUUCAAAGUGAUGGAAUUACAAGAACUUGCUGCUAUAUCUGACUACUAAGUUUUCAAUAUUCUUUUUCUAUCUUGCCUUCUCUCAUGUCCUUCAAGAACAAUAACUCGUCCCUUUGGGAUUGCGCCACAUUCACUGACACUUUGUUCUUUAUUUUAAAAGCAUUUUCCUACUCUGUUUUGUGUUUGCUGUCUGAGCUCAUGUGGAUCCAAUUAAAGUUAAUCUAUUUCAAUAUGAGAUGACAUUUUUUGCAAGAAUUUUUGGUACUUUUAAGUAGGGAUAUUUUUACUAUUUUCAUUAGUGCAGUUAUUUUUGAACAUAUGGUAUACGGUUUGCCGUACCCUUUCCUAACAAUUGCAUUCCUGGCAGUUCUUUGCCAGUUGUGACUGAUUUAUUGCUGACCACUGUGUGCUGCCUUUUCCUGUCUAGAUUCAGCUCCUGUAUCAUUCUCCCCACCAGCAAGGACAUCGGAAGUUGUCCUGUUACUUUGUAGCUGCUGUGUAGCUUGCUACAAAGCUUUGUUGACAGAUGUUUUAAGCUUGGAAACUGUUUCAUCUUCCUGCAUCUUCUUUUUACCCUUUUCUAGGUAGAGAUCUGUGGUUUUGAACAGGAGUAAUUAUUCUCCAGCGGGAAGCAAGGGGAAGCACAGUCCCCAAUAGUCAGGGAAUUAAGAGCUUCUCCAUCCUUCCAGAUGGGAGUGGGUGCCCGCCCACCCCCCCAUCAGCCAGAGGACACUGGUACCUUUUGCUCUAAUUCCUCUGGGGACUCAGGUAGUUUCCUUCUUCUGCCCCUCCCUCCCUUGCUUCCUCCCCUGCUCCAUCCCUUUCUUUUGUUUUUGUAACACCAGGCUUCACUCAGUAGCCCCUGUUGGAUUCACUGUGUGGCCCAGACUCAAGGCAAAGCCUGCUUCCGCCUCUUGGUGCUGAGACUUACAGCAUUGUGUCAAUGAUACAUCCUUACAGUGAGGAAUGUAAACACAAUCCUCACCAGCAGUACAGGAGGAUGACUUCAAGGAAGAUGGCUUCAAGGAGGAUGGCUUCAAGAGCAAAGGGAUGGAGUGGGGAGAGCCAGAGAGCACACAGCUUUUCUAAAUAUAGACUAUUUCUCAGCCAUCUGAUGUCCCACCAUCCCACCAGCAGACAUGUCCCACACGAGUGAUGGAAGUCCCAGCUGGUGAGGAAGCUGCUUCAUCAGGAUGCUUUGCUUGAGAUUUUUCUUCCCCCCUUUUGGAAGAUGCACCUCGAAGAGACCAGCUCCAUGCUGGUGCUGUAGCUGCAAUCAGAGGGCUUGGAUUCUACCCGCUGCCCUGUCACAGCAGCCACUCUGAUAACAACAGACAAGAACACAGCUGCCGUUCAACUCCCACAGGCUGUCUCAUGCGGUCCAUGCAUCUGGUUGUGUGACCCAUGUUUAGCCAAUGCUGGUUACCUCAGAAAUCUUGGUGCCCGUGUAAUACUUAGGGUUCUUGUCUUUUCAUUUUUUUUAAAAAUGUAUUUAUUCAUUAUAUAAGUACACUGUAGCUGUCUUCAGACACACCAGAAGAGGGCAUCGGAUCCCAUUACAGAUGGUUGUGAGCCACCAUGUGGUUGCUGGGAAUUGAACUCAGGACCUCUGGAAGAGUAGUCGGGUGCUCUUAACCACUGAGCCAUCUCUCCAGCCCAGGGUUCUUGUCUUUUCAAUGUCUUGCAUUAUCAUAUUAAAAUAUAAGGUAUGCCUCGUGUUACAUUGUGAUUGAACAAGGUAGCUGGAAAAUAAAAGACAGAGGACACUGACCUCAUGGCAGCAGGUUGUCCUUUACUAGAACAUUGAAAGGCAGGAGCCUCUCUGAGUGGGCAGAGACUGUGUGCUGUGGGGGCUGGGAAAGCUGGGCCUUUAUGGACGAUGAGAGGGGGAUGGGGCCAAGAAUUCUUGUGGUUUUUGUGAGAACUGCUGUUUGGAGAGACACCUGGGACUAUUCCCGAAUGGAACAUUUAACUUGAGAUAGAUUUCUUUAUCGGGGGGCAGGGUGAUUCCUUAGUUUAGGAGGUCUUUGCCCAGCGCUUGGGAGGCUGAGGCAGGAGGAUCACUGCAAGUUUGGUAAGUUUGGGUUAUAGGUUCAUCAGCUUGAGUCUGUCUCAAAAACAAACAAACAAAUAAACAAAUAAUUCAAAACAAAAUAAAAAUAUCGCAAAAUAUAAAAGCCCAUUUUAAAUAUUUUCCUUUGGUGCUUAGGGAUGAACAGUAGCCCGUUUUCAUCUAUAGUGUUCCCAGGUAGAUCUGUCUACAUGCACUAUGUGGAUAUUUUCAGGAAUGAGUAAUCUGUAAGUUUUACGUUGCACGUCACCCUGGGUAUCGUGACAAAGUCACACUGUUCUGUUGUCUUGCUGGGACAUGACUCAUCCCGUGGAACAGGUCGGAAGGUGUGAAAGCCAUUGUCAAAACGGUUUUUGAAGCUGGGCUGCGGGCACAUACAGGCCUGCCAUGCCGCUACCUGGGAGAUGGAGGCCAGACAAUCAGGAGGUCAGCCAGCCAGCCAACCAACCAACCAACCAACCAAGCAUGGUCCUUGUGAGAUGACUUAGUGGUUAAAGAUUCGUGCAGCCAAACCUGACGACGGGAAUUUAUCUCCAGGACUGUUAUGGUGGAACAAGAGAACUGACUCUUAUCACAGAACAAUAUGAAAUGUUCCCUGUUUCCUGCUCUAAAGGCAGUGGGACCUGAGAGUAGAGCCUAAAAGUGAGGUGGAAUAGAAGUUUCACGCAAUCGUCAACUUUAGACAGUUCAUACACUGAGGGUUGAGGUGAGUCACACGUGUAAGGUGCUCACACAAUCACAAGGGCAAAAACAUGUUUUUCUGUAGAGGCCCAUGAAGAACAACAGCUGAGGUAAACUCGCUUUUAUCCAUGACACCUGGGAGGAACAUGAAACACAAUCCAAGGACAAGGCUGUGUUUUUGAGGAAACUGAGGUCACAAGACUUUUGUUGUCUUGGAGGUUUCCAAGCAAGCACUCAGAUUUGUCACAGUGACUCCAUUCUUGGUCUGUAUUCUGACACCCACAAUUUAAAGACUCUAGUGUUUCUCUCCAGUUUUUUUUUUUACUUUUUAAAGAUUUAUUUAUUUUACUUAUUUGAAUAUACUGUAGCUGUCUUCAGACACACCAGAAAAGGGCAUCAGAUCCCAUUACAGAUGUUCAUGAGCCACCAUGUGGUUGCUGGGAAUUGAACUCAGGACCUCUGGAAGAGCAGUCAGUGCUCUUAACCACUGAGCCAUCUCUCCAACACUCUAAUGUCUCUUUAAGUACCAGCACUCAGCUGGAGGACUGGCUCAGUGGUUAAAGGUGGUCAAAAGCACUGGCUACUCUUCCAGAAGUCCUGAGUUCAAUUCCCAGCAACCACAUAGUGGCUCACACUUGUACGUAACUCAAGUUCCAGGGGAUCUGACACAUUCACACACACACAUUCACACACACAGGCAAAACGUCAAUGCACAUAAAAUAAAAGUAAAUAACUAAAAAGAAAUAAAUACCAGCACUUAAAUAAUAGAGUCACGGGCAUGGCUAUCAACCUUGCUCAUAGCAGAUUCUAAGUAUCAACAAAUGGAAUCUAACAGUGUCCCCAAAGAAUAAUCUAUGUGACCUGAAAGUUAUUUGUAAAGACUUUUAGGGGGGGCUGGGGAUUUAGCUCAGUGGUAGAGCGCUUGCCUAGGAAGCGCAAGGCCCUGGGUUCGGUCCCCAGCUCCGAAAAAAAAAGAACCAAAAAAAAAAAAAAAGACUUUUAGGAUUCUAAUCAAAGUGCUUCAUUAAUUUGCAAUAAAUGUUACCAUUAAAACACUGACAUUUCGGGGUUGGGGAUUUAGCUCAAUGGUAGAGCGAUUGCUUAGGAAGCGCAAGGCCCUGGGUUCGGUCCCCAGCUCCGAAAAAAAGAACCAAAAAAAAAAAAACACACUGACAUUUCCAGAAGAAAAGAUAAAAUCUCUUCCUACUUGGUUAUUUACUGUCUUUCAACAAUAUUUUAAAUCUCAUACACCUUUUGUUCAGUAUAUUCAUAGGUAUUUUAUAUUGGCACCUUUAGAUGGAUUUUUAAUUAAAAAAUUACAUUUGUGUGUGUAUGGUGUGUAUGUUUGUGUGUGUGUGGGGUGUGUGUGUAUGGUAUAUAGGUGUGUGUAGUGUGUGUGUGUGGUGUGUGUGUGUAUGGUGUGUAUGUGUGUGUGUGUGGUGUGUGUGUAUGGUGUGUAUGUGUGUGUGUGGUGUGUGUAUGGUAUGUAUGUGUGUGUGUUUAGUGUGUGUAUGGUAUGUAUGUGUAGUGUGUGUGUGUUUGGUGUGUAUGUGUUUGUGUGUGUGGUGUGUAUGUAUGGGUGUGUGUGUUGUGUGUGUGUAUGGCGUGUAUGUGUGUGUGUAUGUGUCUGUGUGUGUCUGUGUCUGUGUGUGUGUAUGGUAUAUAUGUAUGUGUAUGUGUGUGCGUGGUGUGUGUGUGUGUGUGUGUGUGUGUGUGUGUGUGUGUACCAGGCCUGUCAGAGGACAACUUGGCAGGCAUCAGGCCCCUCUGUCUACCACAUGAGUUCCAGAAAUCGAACUCAGAUCAUCAAGAUUGGCUGCAAGUGCUGUGAAUUGUCUCGCUGACCUGAGUGGGUUUUAUUUUCUCACACUUUGCUACUGAUAUGUAACAAAUUUAAACAAUUAACCUUUGAACCCAUGAACCUAUGAACAAUUAAACUUUGCUAGACCUUCUAGUAGUUUAUCAUUACAAUCGUUUUAGAAAGAGAAUCAUGUCCUUUGAAAAAAUAUGUUCGUUUCUUUCCUAACGAAUCUGCCUUUUGUUUUAUUGCCCUGGGAAGAGAAUGUACCAUCAUGUUGAAUAUUAGAAGUAAAAAUGGAUAGUCACAUUUUACUGUUUCCUGUGACAAGAACUAUUAAGCUUCACAUUUACAAUAGGCUUCUGCUAAAAGCCUUUCAUCAAAUUGCUAUCUGUUCUCCUUUUGCUAAGUAGACACUGGAUUGUUAAAUGUUAACCACUCAGCUAAUUGUAUAGUAUUAAACUUCUAAAUUAUGAACAGGAUGGAUUGCAGUGAUAGACUUAAAUGUUAAGCACUUCUGGGGAAACUUUUUUUUUACGUCUAUCUAGGUAGACUGCUAGGUAGCUUUAGUGAUCUGUCAAGAGCUUUAUCUGUUGGUGGGUUUAACUCCAAGUUUUCUCUGGAGCUAUCUUUGCUGGGUUUAGUUAUUAAGACACUACUGCUAGUAAAUGAUCUGAGCACUUUCUUAUGUUAAAAUACAGUGUCUGUGGGGGUGGAGAGAUGGCUCAGCAGUUAAGAGCAUAGACUGCUCUUCCAGAGGUCCUGAGUUCAAUUCCCGGCAACCACGCAGUGGCUUACAAAUAUCUGUAAUGGGAUCUGAUGCCCUCUUCUGCUGUGUCUAAGACAGCUACCAUGUAUUUAUAUACAUAAAUAAAUAAAUAAUGAAAAUACAGUGUCCAUGAUAGCAAAUCAGGCAAGUAAAGUAUGUAUAACUUGAUGCCCUGUUCCAGGCAGAAGAGCCAGGGUGAGAAAAGCACUCUAGAAAGUGAGUGUAAUCGUCUCACUGUGAGGCCCUGACUCUCUGUUCUUACUUCUCCACCUCCUCCUCCUCCUUUCUUCUUCUCACUAUGUAGCUCUGGCUGGCCUAGAACUCUUCAUGCAGACCAUGAACUCACAGAGAUCUGCCUUUGCCUCCUGAGAGCUGGGAUUAAAGUAGUGAGCUACCAUGCCCAGAAAAGUUACAUCUUCUUAAAUGAGUAAGAGGAAUGAAAUGGAUUUGGCUCAAACUGAUAACAAAUUAACAUUUUGUAUAUUGAAUCCAAAAACCUUGUAUGUUUGGAUUGAAUGUAAGAUCUGCUUUACAUCUAUGUUUACAGACCAAUUCUUGUUUUCUUUUUUUUUUUUUUUUUUUUUUUUCUUUUUUCGGAGCUGGGGACCGAACCCAGGGCCUUGUGCUCGCUAGGCAAGCGCUCUACCACUGAGCUAAAUCCCCAACCCCCAAUUCUUGUUUUCUUAUUUUGUUCUUUUUUGCUUCAAAUUCUGGUUCCAAUCUCCUAGGAUCCGAAAGAAAUGUUUGAACACACUGUUCUAACCCUGUUUACAGACAGCUUUUGGGUUGUACAUUCCUGGAGAACUCUGACAGCUAACUGGUUGGUCAGUCAGUGCCGCCCCUGAAAUCUUAAGUCUUUCCUGCAACUUCACAAUGUGAAUUUGGAAAUAAGGCUGCAUGUGAGUAAAUAGGAACAAGCUGAGCUUUUAAAUCCAACAGGAUGGGUGUCCUUAUAAAACACAGAAAGAAGGAGCACAGCGUGUGACAACAGGGUAGAGCAGUGCUGCUCUAAGUCAAAGCAUACACAUGAGUUAUAGCAAUCACCAGAGACUAAGAAAGGCAAAGAUAUCUAUUCAAAAAUGACAGAGGAAGCCUGACUCUACCAAGACACAAAUGUCAAACGUCUGUUGUUUUAGACUCUCAACAUUUGAUGUCUGC